rnacentral:misc_RNA from 1 species
GUAGGUGAACCUGCGGAAGGAUCAUUAUUGAAUAUUCUUGAUGGGUUGUAGCUGGCUCUUAGGGGCAUGUGCACACUUGUCUUGACUUUAUUCAUCCACCUGUGCACCCUUUGUAGUCUUGGGGGUUGAGAGCAGUCGACUAUCGGAUGGCUAUGGCUUUUCCGGACAUGAGGAUUGCUGAGUGCGCAAGCAUACAGCUCUUCUCAAAUGGCUUGCAAAACCUCUCCCUCGAGUACUAUGUAUUCAUAUA